rnacentral:lncRNA from 1 species
ACCAUUUUUUCUCUAUCUGCUUUGGCCUGGGCUGUGGACUGUUACUCUACAGGCCAUUUUACUCCAUCGUGGUGCCGUCAAUUCUUGCUGUGUUCUUCACAGUAGUCUUUGAAUGUGUUGGUGCAUCCUUUGGUAAGAUGUUUUAUUCAAACUUACGAUAUUAAAUGAAUCAGAAAAUUGCAAAAUAUCAGUUACAAAUUUGAUGGAACAGGUUUUGUUGAGCAUUUAACAUUUUUAACAGGUUUGCCAGCACACACUGUAAGAUGUAAGGGUCGACCUUACCACUGGAAAGGUAAUUUUACUGUGUUCAGACAGCUUGCCCUUUCUUCCAUCACGCUAUUUGAUUAAUAUGAAAACUGGUUUGUUAUUAAAGACCUUUUUUUUGCUACAGAUGUUAUCUGGGGUUAUUGUAUGGCUUUCUUAGUGACCAUCCUUCAUCUCAGGUCUUACCAUGUUUAUACUCUGUCUUGUGGCUUUGGCCUCGUUGUGUUUGCCAUAAGAGGAGCAAUACGCAAAUAUAAUGCUCUAUGGUGAGAACUUUUUCUUUAUUAUGUCGGGAACCUUUCAUAUGAGUUACUGCAGAGCAUUGCAGUAGAUUAUUUUCUAAGAACACCCUAGAAAGACUGUUGUUCCUGUUUUUUAAACAGGAAAGCAAGGCGUUACUGUGAUUGAUCCAAAAUUAAUGCUCACUAAGAGGUAAGAAAGUUAAAAAAAAAUAUAUAUAUAUAUUUGUUUGUAUUUUUAUAAUACAACUGUGAUCAUUGUCGAUGUCUUUUGCAGGUGUCCGUUUGUGCAUUCAUGCACAUUUAUUAAGUUUGUGUAGCGCUUUCCACAUACAUAUUGUUUCAAAGCAGCUUUAAAUCAAAGCCAAUUGUCAUGUGAAUUUAAUGUGAUCUGAUUUAAUUUUGUACAUUUCACUGAAUUAAUUUUGUACAUUUCACAACAUCUUAUUUCUGAUUUAAUCUUGUUUUACUAUUUGUUACUUUCUACAUUUCAAUUUUUCAUCAGUUGUUUUGAUUAAUG